rnacentral:pre_miRNA from 1 species
UCUUAUGGGUUAGCAAAGAAAGUGGUCGCUUGAGAUGGAAGCUACUCCUGGUGAAGAUUCUGUGAA